rnacentral:rRNA from 1 species
CAAUAGCGUAUAUUAAUGUUGUUGCAGUUAAAAAGCUCGUAGUUGGAUUUCUGGUGGGAGCGGUUGGUCUGCCCCGCGAGGGGUAGUAACUGAGCCGUAUCCGGCCCUUUUCGGGUUGAUCGCGGCUGGCAUUAAUUUGUCGGUGCGGGAGGCCCGUCGUUUACUGUGAACAAAUUAGAGUGUUCAAAGCAAAGUGUUUUUGAAUAUAUCAGCAUGGAAUAAUGAGAUAGGACUUUGGUGGUUCGUGCUCUCGGGUACGAUAUUUUGUUGGUUUGCACGCCAAAGUAAUGAUUAAUAGGAGCAGUUGGGGGUAUUCGUAUUCAAUUGUCAGAGGUGAAAUUCUUGGAUUUCUAGAAGACGAACUACUGCGAAAGCAUUUACCAAGGAUGUUUUCAUUAA